rnacentral:rRNA from 1 species
AACUCUGAUCAGUGAAUCACUCGGCUCACGGGUCGAUGAAGAACGCAGCCAGCUGCGAGACUUGGUGUGAAUUGCAGAACACAUUGAGCACUGAUUUUCGAACGCUCAUUGCGGUCUCGUGUGAUACCCGGGACCUCGCUUGUCUGAGGGUCG